rnacentral:rRNA from 1 species
CUUCUUGGAUGAGUUGCGAACGGGUGAGUAACGCGUAGGUAACCUGCCUUGUAGCGGGGGAUAACUAUUGGAAACGAUAGCUAAUACCGCAUAACAAUGGAUGACACAUGUCAUUUAUUUGAAAGGGGCAAUUGCUCCACUACAAGAUGGACCUGCGUUGUAUUAGCUAGUAGGUGAGGUAACGGCUCACCUAGGCGACGAUACAUAGCCGACCUGAGAGGGUGAUCGGCCACACUGGGACUGAGACACGGCCCAGACUCCUACGGGAGGCAGCAGUAGGGAAUCUUCGGCAAUGGGGGCAACCCUGACCGAGCAACGCCGCGUGAGUGAAGAAGGUUUUCGGAUCGUAAAGCUCUGUUGUAAGUCAAGAACGAGUGUGAGAGUGGAAAGUUCACACUGUGACGGUAGCUUACCAGAAAGGGACGGCUAACUACGUGCCAGCAGCCGCGGUAAUACGUAGGUCCCGAGCGUUGUCCGGAUUUAUUGGGCGUAAAGCGAGCGCAGGCGGUUUGAUAAGUCUGAAGUUAAAGGCUGUGGCUCAACCAUAGUUCGCUUUGGAAACUGUCAAACUUGAGUGCAGAAGGGGAGAGUGGAAUUCCAUGUGUAGCGGUGAAAUGCGUAGAUAUAUGGAGGAACACCGGUGGCGAAAGCGGCUCUCUGGUCUGUAACUGACGCUGAGGCUCGAAAGCGUGGGGAGCGAACAGGAUUAGAUACCCUGGUAGUCCACGCCGUAAACGAUGAGUGCUAGGUGUUGGAUCCUUUCCGGGAUUCAGUGCCGCAGCUAACGCAUUAAGCACUCCGCCUGGGGAGUACGACCGCAAGGUUGAAACUCAAAGGAAUUGACGGGGGCCCGCACAAGCGGUGGAGCAUGUGGUUUAAUUCGAAGCAACGCGAAGAACCUUACCAGGUCUUGACAUCCCGAUGCUAUUUCUAGAGAUAGAAAGUUACUUCGGUACAUCGGUGACAGGUGGUGCAUGGUUGUCGUCAGCUCGUGUCGUGAGAUGUUGGGUUAAGUCCCGCAACGAGCGCAACCCCUAUUGUUAGUUGCCAUCAUUCAGUUGGGCACUCUAGCGAGACUGCCGGUAAUAAACCGGAGGAAGGUGGGGAUGACGUCAAAUCAUCAUGCCCCUUAUGACCUGGGCUACACACGUGCUACAAUGGUUGGUACAACGAGUUGCGAGUCGGUGACGGCAAGCUAAUCUCUUAAAGCCAAUCUCAGUUCGGAUUGUAGGCUGCAACUCGCCUACAUGAAGUCGGAAUCGCUAGUAAUCGCGGAUCAGCACGCCGCGGUGAAUACGUUCCCGGGCCUUGUACACACCGCCCGUCACACCACGAGAGUUUGUAACACCCGAAGUCGGUGAGGUAACC